UCCCUGGUGGUUCAAUGGCUAAGACACCACACUCUCAAUGCAGGGAGCCCGGGUUCGAUUCCUGGUCAGGGAA
rnacentral:tRNA from 1 species